GUGUAGGAAUCUUAUCCUACGAGGCCACAACCAUCCUUGGUGCCAUAUCCCACAACCAUCCUUGGUGCCGGUGGUAUACUAAAAGGUAAGUGAUCGAACAAGGAUAAUAUUAAUUUUUAAGCACAUUCAGUAUUAAAACAAGUAACAUGGUAUAUGCGUUCACAUAGUUGGAAAGCAAAGAAGAUUUAUACUCGUAAAUGAAAUAAGUCGUUAUUUUCUUAAUUGAUGGAACAUAUACUUACCAAGAAAGACAAUUUCAAUAAUUUAGUUCCACAAGACACUGGAAUACUCUCUCCGCCCCAAAGAGAUUGUUUUACUUUUUUUAUUAGUUUGUCUCAAAAAUAUUGACACAUUUCUAUAUUUAGAGACAAUUUAACUUUAUAAGAUGAUUUA